GCCAAUGUGGCAUAUUGGUUUCAGUGCUGGACUGCGACUUUGGACACCGGGGUUCAAUUCCCAGCUUGGCCA